UACGGGGGGUGCGAGCGUUGUCCGGAAUCACUGGGCGUAAAGGGCGCGUAGGCGGCGCGAGUAGUCAACGGUGAAAGCCCGGGGCUCAACCCCGGGUCGGCCGUCGAUACUCUCGUGCUUGAGCACUGUAGAGGCAGGUGGAAUUCCGGGUGUAGCGGUGGAAUGCGUAGAGAUCCGGAAGAACACCGGUGGCGAAGGCGGCCUGCUGGGCAGUAGCUGACGCUGAGGCGCGACAGCGUGGGGAGCAAACAGG
rnacentral:rRNA from 1 species